AUUUAUAUAGUUUAUAAUAAAACAUUUCAUUUUCAAUGAAAAAACAAGAUGAUUCUUUAUAAA
rnacentral:tRNA from 1 species